rnacentral:rRNA from 1 species
UACGUAGGGUGCGAGCGUUGUCCGGAAUUAUUGGGCGUAAAGAGCUCGUAGGCGGUGUGUCGCGUCGGCUGUGAAAACCCGGGGCUCAACCCCGGGCCUGCAGCCGAUACGGGCAGACUAGAGUUCGGCAGGGGGAGACUGGAAUUCCUGGUGUAGCGGUGAAAUGCGUAGAUAUGACAUAGAACACCAAUUGCGAAGGCAGCUUACUACAGGGACAUUGACACUGAGGCACGAAAGCGUGGGGAUCAAACGGG